rnacentral:rRNA from 1 species
GACGAACGCUGGCGGCGUGCUUAACACAUGCAAGUCGAACGGAAAGGCCCUGCUUUUGUGGGGUGCUCGAGUGGCGAACGGGUGAGUAACACGUGAGUAACCUGCCCUUGACUUUGGGAUAACUUCAGGAAACUGGGGCUAAUACCGGAUAGGAGCUCCUGCUGCAUGGUGGGGGUUGGAAAGUUUCGGCGGUUGGGGAUGGACUCGCGGCUUAUCAGCUUGUUGGUGGGGUAGUGGCUUACCAAGGCUUUGACGGGUAGCCGGCCUGAGAGGGUGACCGGCCACAUUGGGACGGAGAUACGGCCCAGACUCCUACGGGAGGAAGAGGUGGGGAAUAUUGCACAAGGGGCGGAAGCCGGAUGCAGCAACGCCGCGGGCGGGAUGACGGCCUUCGGGUUGAAAACCGCUUUCGCCUGUGACGAGGCGUGAGUGACGGUAAUGGGGAAAGAAGCACCGGCUAACUACGG